UUCUAAUAUGUUGAUAUCUUAAUUUGCAGGAUGGCGUAGUUCCACUUGCUGGACCCUCACUACGACGAGCACCACAGGGGCUGUCUCACCGCAGAGGGAGAGGUGUUGCCCGUUCUGCGGGUCCGGACCCACGACCGGUUUCUGGAGGAGAUGAGGUACGAUGAGAGGUACACUCCUCUCCUACAGAGGGCUGGCUUGGACGUCGUAUCGUACCAGGUUUGCCGUGGGCUGCCCAAUUUCAACCCAGCGGCGUUGACGGCUCUGGUCGACAGGUGGCGGCCAGAGACUCACACUUUCCACCUUCCCUGCGGUGAGAUGACCGUGACGCUUGAAGAUUGCCAGAAGAUUCUUGGUCUCAGCAUUAUUGGUCGUCCAGUGACCGGUCAGGCAUCACCAGGCGGUUGGAGGCAGAGGGUGGAGGCCUUUCUUGGGAGACUGCUUCCGGAUGACCUACGAGGUAGCCACAACACCGGAGUCCCACUGACCUAGCUUAGGCAGACCUUUGGGCAGUGUCCACCUGGUGCAGACGAGCAGACAGUUGGAU